UUUGCUGCGUUGGUCCGUUUGCGGCGCCAAUGGAAGUCGACGGCAGUCGUCGGUAUCGUUGGCAUCCCGGCGCUUAGCGCAGUUUAUCGUGCGCCGUCCACGCGCGCGUUUUCUUCGUGCGCGCGCGCGCGCUCGCUCACAUACAUACAAACAUACAUUCAUACAUAAACCUUUUUUCUUUUUCUUUUUUUUCUUUUUUUCAACCGGGUUCAUUUUAAAUAAUAUUUUUCGUGCUUGUUAACAACGUGCGUGCGUGUUCGCGUGCGUGUUUGCGUGCUUGCUUAUUUGCUUAUUUACGCGUGUAAGUAAGUAAGUAAGUGCAUACGUGCGUGUGUUUCGAAUACACACUUGAUCGAAAGGAUCCCUUAAAGGACACUCGCUCUUCUCCCUUCCCCACCUUCCCUUCUCUGCUUCUCCUUUACUACAAAAAAAUCAUUCGUACCGUUUUACGAUAAAUACCAAUUUGACGUAUUAUUAUUGUUAUCGAUAAAAUUACAAACUGGUAUCGUAUUCGAGUACCUGGUCCAACCGAUUAGAAAAUUUGUCAAUGAAUUCAUUAACUUGAAUUCUAAUAAUUGAAAUUUACGAAUUGUUAUAAAAUAAAUGAAUUAAAACGAG
rnacentral:lncRNA from 1 species